CCAAUGUGAAUAAAAAGAUUUAUAACAUAACCUCAAACAUCACGGCAGAAACAAAUGCAGCAAGUAUGUAAGAAAUAAGCAAUCAGGGAUGUGAUUCUUUCAGAUUAAUCCGGAAUUCCGGUUUUCCGACCUGAAAAUGUGACGCACGUGAAUCAUGCAGAUCCGUAAAAAAAAAGUUAUAGUCGCGCCAGCUUCUCUGUCCUUUCCUCUGCGUGUUUGACCGAGGCUCAGCUCCCACACACACACACACACACACACACACAGCAGAGCAGAGCGGUCGCGGUGGAAACAGUGAAUCAGCUGACAUCCUUCCUGUCCACUCGCCACAGAUGUGGCAGAAAUCACAAGCUUACAACCAGACAAGCACGGAGUAUUUAACUGCAUCAUUUCUGCACCAGCACACUGCUAAAGGAGUACAAGCCGACAGGACUGCAGGCCUAAGCCUGCAAGUGAACACGGCCAGACUGGGCCCGAAGACUGUAGAGCCAGAAUAUUGUAACGUGGUGAAUUAAGGUUUUAUUUCAACCAAACCAGAGUUGGUUAUUGUUGGAACAGUGGAAAGACUAACAAAGACGGUUUUGACAAAAAAAGCCAAGAGAGCUUGUGUAACAUUGCGAACUCACUGCUGGCACACAUCUCCUGGAACUACUUGAGCUAUACUAUCGGAGUAUCGUGGUAUUACAACACAGGACGGGUCGAAGCUAGCAGGUUAGCAUGCUAAUUUCAGCAGCACAAUACAUUAACGUCAUUGACAUGACGUCAGAACUGUUACUUCUUCGUAUUCUGUUGAUAAGGUUAGUUCACUUUUUGAAUGUUUUAAAAUAAAAUUCUGGCCAAAUCUUACAUAUUACCCCUUUAAGCAAAACAAUUGAAAACAAAUCAUACUGAAACACACUCAGUUACAUCAACACUGCAGGGAAACCUUUCUUGCAGCUCUGAGGGUUGUGAUGAGUUCCACACUGACACGACAGAUUAAGAUUCAGUUAAGAACAUAAGUUUGGAUCAGAUCAGUUAACUGAGCAGAAAGCCUGUUCUGUAUGUGCAAAUCUUAAUCAAUUUCAGCAGCUUGCUUUGAUUUUGGAAACUUUUAUACUAUUUGAAAGUCACUUUUCUGAGAAUUAAUCUGACACAAAGUGAAGUUUCCUCUCCUGUGAGACAUCUGUGCUCCAAGCAGGUUCAAACAACAACCACUGAGUAAAAAAACAGCAAACCUUUUUGACUGAGGACUGUUGUAAAGUCUGGCUGAGCUGUGCUAGGUAUUGUCGAUUGUGUAUCAUGCCACUUAGAGAGGGAAUCAAUUUCAGCCACUUGAGAAUGUGCAGUAGCAGGAAAAAACAGACAGACGAGUCACAAAACAACAGAAGGGCUUCAGUGUCUUCUCAGGAGAGAGCUCAGGUUGUGCACAUAUGUCCAUUUCUGUCUAUGUAAUCCAUCAAAUGACAGCACAACUACACUGUUAAACAAGGGGGCAGAGCAGAGGAAAGAAAGGAAGGAAAGUAGAGGAGGAAGUGUGUGGGAGAACAGAGCAUGCACGCUCCGCUGGCUGUUACCACGGGGAGAUGCUUCAUGUUGCCGUAGUGAUUCAAGCGUGUAUCCACAUUGCUGUGGUGAUUCACACAUGCCCCCUCUUGUCUCCAGCGAUGACGCUGCGAGGUAGGAAAGUGAGAGUUUCCAAGACCACAAUAGGGUCCAGCGUAGGAGAUAGAAUCAUACGACAUGCCGCUGGACAACGAUCCCCACAUAAACUCACUCAUGAGCAUCACCAACAACAGACUUACAGAUAAAAACACAAAGAUAGACACUCAAGCGUGUACUAUCAAGUCAAAACGCAGCUGCAGUACUUCUCCUGUUCCUAACAACAGUGACAGCCAGUAAAAGAGGAAGGACGAGCCAAGCCAAAGGAUGUUCCCGGAGCUCUUCCUCUUCUCAGUAAGCUGUGAUUAUGUUGGACUGGACAAGCAAGAUCUCAUUCCUCAUCACAACAUAAACUUCCUCUUUAUCUUGAGCUGCAUGAAAAAGUAAUAGAAAAUAAGGAAAAGCAUAAGAAGAUGAAAAAUAUGAUUUGAGCCAACGUGUCGCUGUAGGGAUAGUUUCAAGACAGUAUAAAGACAAGCACUCAUUGUAUUGUUAUUGCAUCUCACAGUCUCAUGUGGAAGUGGGUUCAGUAAGGCUGCUCACGAAAGGUACAUGACCAUCAGCACAUGCAGAAAUUAAGAAAACGUGUAUUUGUGCCCAAUGCCCAAACACUUUCUAAAAUAGCUGGGAGAAAAUCCGACACUUAUCUCACUCAGUUUCUAUCGUAACGGCCAAUAUAACUGUGUUGUGUAAGUCAGGUAUUAUACUGGCCUUUAAAUAGUCAAAUGUCCUGCUGGCCACCUGUUAGCUAACUACUGGUUUAAGACCUGAGUUGGUAGAUAGAUGGAGGUGUUCUUGUGCACAUAAGAGCUUCCGGACUGCUAUCUCUCCCUGUGUUUCUCUAUAAGAGGCUUGUUUGAGAUUUAGAGGUGUGACAUAAUUAAAAAGGCAACUGCAUCAAGUAAUGCGCCAUGUAAUCAGCAGCCUUUUUGUUGUCACAUAAUGAAUAAGAAAUGUGCUUUUUCAAGCUCUUUUCAACAGCAAGUAUGGCAAUCAGAAUGUCACAAGUGGCAGAAACGGCCUAAACAUGACUUUGUACACAAAAAUGUUUGGGAAUGAUUAUGUUGUCUUAGGAACACAAGCAAAGCAGCACUUGAAAAGACCAGAAAUUUAAACGUUAGAUCUCUAAUCUGCAAAUCUUUUCUCUGACGUAAAGUAUAACACAAUACAGUGGUGGAAUGUGAAAAGUA